rnacentral:lncRNA from 1 species
CAGGGCUUCUAUGUAGUGCUGAUCUGGAUAGCGUGUGGGCGCCAUAGGACGCUGGUAAAGAGCUAUGUAGCGCUCUCUCUGAGCAUCAUCUCUAUAGGCUACGUGCAUAUCGUUGAAGUCCUGCAUCCUAUAAAAGUUAGGAAAAGGGAUCUUGAAAAUACAAACCAUUCAAAUAUUUAGUCUCGAUGAAAAUAUGAUAAAAAUUGAAAAUA